GACAGCAGUAGCCUGCUUCUGAUGCCUCUGGCCUGAUACUCCUACAUCCACCACCUGUCCAGUCCAAUUCUGCAAGGCUAAAUACAUUAGACUAGACAAGCACCUGCAAAAAAUCCACAAACUUGAGAAACCUACCAUCACUCUCUACAUGCAGAGAGGAUAGAUGUUACAAAGGAACUGGCACUCCUGAGAGCUUCAAGCCCGCUCUUCAAGCCACACCAAAUGUGUGCCUCCUUCAAAAUCUAGUCAGGCCCAGAAGAGGGCAUGAGUUUGCCAGCCCAAAUUUGUCUUCUCCUUAUCACUCUGCAGUCAAAACUCCCUGUCCACAUUCCACUCCAAAAAGGUUUCCUCCUUCCAAGUCUCCCAGCGAGUCUCCCAAUGAGCCUGGUGCUUAAGAAUCAAAGGAUCACAGUUCGAGGCCCUACUGGUGUAAGAGCACC